GAUGAACGCUGGCGGCGUGCCUAAUACAUGCAAGUCGAGCGAACAGAUAAGGAGCUUGCUCCUUUGACGUUAGCGGCGGACGGGUGAGUAACACGUGGAUAACCUACCUAUAAGACUGGGAUAACUUCGGGAAACCGGAGCUAAUACCGGAUAACAUAUUGAACCGCAUGGUUCAAUAGUGAAAGGCGGCUUUGCUGUCACUUAUAGAUGGAUCCGCGCCGUAUUAGCUAGUUGGUAAGGUAACGGCUUACCAAGGCAACGAUACGUAGCCGACCUGAGAGGGUGAUCGGCCACACUGGAACUGAGACACGGUCCAGACUCCUACGGGAGGCAGCAGUAGGGAAUCUUCCGCAAUGGGCGAAAGCCUGACGGAGCAACGCCGCGUGAGUGAUGAAGGUCUUCGGAUCGUAAAACUCUGUUAUCAGGGAAGAACAAAUGUGUAAGUAACUGUGCACAUCUUGACGGUACCUGAUCAGAAAGCCACGGCUAACUACGCG
rnacentral:rRNA from 1 species